GGAGAGGUGGCUGAGUGGUCGAAAGCGCACGACUCGAAAUCGUGUGUACUAGAAAUAGUACCGUGGGUUCGAAUCCCACCCUCUCCG
rnacentral:tRNA from 1 species